rnacentral:rRNA from 1 species
CACGUAGGGGACGAGCGUUGUCCGGAUUCAUUGGGCGUAAAGCGCGCGUAGGCGGCUCGGAAAGUCGGUCGUGAAAUGCCGGGGCUCAACCCCGGGACUGCGUCCGAUACUCUCGAGCUGGAGGCAGGUAGGGGAGAUCGGAAUUCCGGGUGUAGUGGUGAAAUGCGUAGAGAUCCGGAGGAAUACCAGUGGCGAAGGCGGCACGCUGGGCCAUAACUGACGCUAAGACUCGAAAGCAUGGGUAGCGAACGGG